GGCCCGGAAGGCAGUGACACCACCUUCCCUUCCUAGGAACCGUGGCCCCUUGGGGAAGACGCUGCAGCCGGGGCCCAGGGGGCUGGGCACCCAGGAAACGCAACCACAGGCACCCCCUGCCGCCCCUCAGGGCCUGCGAAUCCAGGCAAAAAAAAGGAGGCACCCCACCGGCCUUCCAGACAUCACACCGCAAUCCUGCUCAGCUUCCCCGGCCUCCUCCUCUGCCCCAGCACAUCUCCCGCCUCCCUCCUGCUUCCCUGGCUUCUCCCGCAGUGGUGAUCUCCUUCCUUCACUCCUUUGCUCCCAGAGUCCACGACUCUGCAUCACCUCCACCUGGAAGCCCUCCGAGGAUACCCUUCUCCUGUUGAAGAUGCUGUGUUCUCCGUGGGUCCCUUUCUGACCCCCUGGCUCUCUCCCCUUGUCAGCAUCCUUCUGCAAGGUUCCCAGAGGGCAAAGGGUGGCCCUGCUCCCCGCGGGUGCCCGUGAGCCCGGCAGGCAGGUGCCGGCGGGAAGGAAGGAAGUACUCACUGAGGAGUGUCCUCUGCAUACUCUGUGCCCGCAUGCUGGGUGACCGAGCUCCGGCCUGUGCCCGCUGGGGGUGACACCUCCCUGCCUGGAGCCCUGAGGGCUGGCAGCCCCUUUAUGCCCGUCGGGGUGAUUGGCCAACACCUCGUGAGGCGGCCAAUGGGCGCCCAGUGCGGUGGCAUGCCUGCUCCUCCUCCUGUUUUCUUCGAAUUCAUUCUUCGAGGUCAGCCCCCCACGCCCAAGGAUGAUGCAAACCACAGCCUCAGCCUUCCUGGGGCCCAUCGAACCAGGCGCUUGGGGCAAGAGGAAAGGGAGAUCAGGACUCAAGCCCGCUGACAUGCUGUGUGGCCCAAGGCAAUUCACUUCGCCUCCCUGGGCCUCGGAGGCCCCUACCACCUGCAAAAUGAGGAUUUGAAAAGUAUCUCCCAGCUACCUCACCGGGCUGCUGCCAUCAUGGACAUAAAAGGCAAAGGCCCUUUGAAGGAAAAAGGAGCGAUGAAGCAGUCUGAUUCCAAGAUGAACGGAGGCCCCGUGAGCGCGCGGAUGAAGCGGCCGAGGGCUGGCCCGCACACCAUGCCUGGCCACCUCAGCGCCUCCAGCAGACCGGCUGGGGGUCCUUGGCCUGCACCCUGAGGAGUGCCGUGGGCAGGAGGGUGUCAAAGGCUGAGAAGCGGGGUGGGGCCCUUGGAGGGACGUGGGGCCAGGGAGGCCUGAGCCGCUUGGGCCCUGCGGAGCCCGGAUCAGGAAUGCCAAGGUGGCUGGAAGGAGGGAGGCCGGGCACCCACCCCAGCACCCAUCAAUACCCCCAAGGCCAUUCCCAGCAGCCCGCCCCUCUGCAGGCUCAUUUAUGCAGUCAACAAACAUUUAUUUGGCCUGCUCUUUUCCAAGUGCUAAGGAACUAGCAAUGGGCAACACCAGGGGCACCCCCUCAUCCCAAACCCCGGAGGCUUCUCCUCACCCCGCCCCCCACCCCCAGCCUACUCCCUGGGCCUCAUCACACCCUCGCCACCGUCAAGGCCCAGUUCUGGAUUCUCCUCCUGAGAAUGUCACUUCCGCUCGACUCCCCGUCCCGGCGCCCACUCCCACGAGGCAGCUUCCUGGGCCCAGGCCAGGCCCAGAUCCUUGUUCAUUUCACUCUCUGAUCUCAUCUCGCUGCAGCCCUGGGAGGGACAGUGGCCUGGCAUGCGUGCCUCAGCUCCCUUAAUAGUCGUUUGCUUUUUAAAAAAAAAAAAAAAAAAAAUGUACUUAUUUGGCUGUGUUGGGUCUUAGCUGCAGAACGCAGGAUCUUUUGUUGUGGUGAGUGGGUUUCAAGCGUGGUGCCUGGGCUUGGCUGCCCUGUGGCUUGUGGCAUCUUAGUUCCCCAACCAGGGAUCAAACCUGCAUCUCCUGCAUUGGAAGGUGGAUUCUUAACCACUGUACCACCAGGGAAGUUCCCUGGCUCCUGGUAAUGAAAGAAAAACAGAACCUUGGAAAAGCUCAGGGCUGGGCUCCAUGUAGAAGAGCCAGGUCUGGCCAGAGAGCCUCAUGCCCUUGCUGAGCGGCCUCCACGCCCAGGGGACAGCCCAGGGUUUUCACCCCUCGGUCCAGAGGCAGUAGGGUCUCCUGUGUUUAUUUAUUUAUUUAUUUUUUUCUCCUGGGUUUAAAGAGGCCUCCAAGUCCCAGAGACAUUGAGAUCGACUCACCUGUGGUGUACCUUUUAUAAAAACUUUUAAGAGGAGGGUGCUUGCACAUCUGAAAGAGCUGGCUCUGAGCACGGAGCUUUAAAUUUACAUGUGAGUUUGCUGGAGCUGCCAUAACCAGGUACCACAGACAGAAGUGUACAACAGUGUUUUCUCACAGUCCUGGAGCUGAAAGUCUGAGCUCAAGGUGCUGGAUUCAUCCUGAGGCCGCCCUCCUCAGCUCGCAGAUGGCCGGCUUCUCGUCAUCUCCUCCUACGGCUGCCCUGCCAUGUCUGUCUGUGCCCAGAUCUCUUCUCCUUUUUAAAAACAAUAUUUGGGGCCAUGUUGGGUCUUCAUUGCUGCAUGGGCUUUUCUCUAGUUGUGGCCCACGGGCUCCUCAUUGCGGUGGCUUCUCUUGUUGCAGAGGACCUAGGGCUCGUGGGCUUCCGUAGCUGUGGCGCACAGGCUUUGCUGCUUCACGGCACGUGGGAGCCUCCCGGACCAGGGAUCGAACUCACAUCCCCUGCACUGGCCGGUGGCUUCUUUACCACUGAACCACACCAGGGAAGCCCCGACCUCCUCUUCUUCUAAGGACACCUGUUAUGUUGCAAUGGGGCCCACCCAAUGGCCCCACUUUACCCCGAUUGCCCCUUUCCAGGCCCUGGCUCUGUGCACACUCAUAUUUUGAGGUGCUGGGGGUCGUGACCUCAGUGCACACACUUGAGGGACGCAAAUCAAUGGCUUCAGGUAGAGGGUGUGGUUGGGGGGCUGCAGGGAGUGGGGACACUGGGGAGAAGCCCGGAGCUGGGUGGGAGGAGGCUGAGGUGAGGCAGCCCCACAGCCCCAUCUGAGCGAAGCGUAAGGGGAAGAUGCGUCAGCGUUUCUGGUGAGGUCAGCGCCUGGUGACGUCCCUCCUGCCAGCAGGAAAGGCUUGCGACACGGCCCCCGUCGGUAUAAAUAGGCUCCGCGACCACAGGGCCCAGGCUGUCCCUGCUUCCCAGGCCACGUCAGCCAGGUCCGCGUGAUCCGGAGGGGAAGAGAGGGCCCACUUGGUUCCUCAGAACUGCUGUUUCCUUGCCUUUCUGAUCCACCCUCCAGCUGGGGAUCCACCCCCACUUUAAACACAAGGAAGGGAUUUGAUGUGACCUGGGGCAGGUCAACAGUGGACGCAGGAGGCCCCUGGGUGCAGAGGCCUGCAGGCUAUGGGCGGAGACCAACCCAGGCUCCGGUCUCCAUCUGCUUGUGGGCCUGGAAUUCUUGGCCCAGUCACACCCCCCUCUUCUGAACCUCAGUUUCCCCUCUUGCCACCACAGUGCCACAGUUAAACAACGGAGAAGACAAACAACCCCAUUUUUUAAUUAAACAAAAUUUUUUUUUGACGUGGGCCAUUUUUAAGUCUCUAUUGAAUUUGUUACGAUACGGCUUCUCUUCUGUUUUGGUUUUUGGCUGCGAGGCAUGUGGGAUCUCAGCUCCCUGACCAGGGGUUGAACCCACACCCUCUGUGUUGGAAGGUGAAGUCUUUUUUUUUCCCUCUCAAAGUUUUUGUUUCGUAUUGGCGUAUAGCCGAUUAACAAUGUUGUGAUAGUCUCAGGGGAAUGGGGAAGGGAAUCAGCCAAGCCUACGCAAGGAAGGCUAAGUCUUAACCACUGGACCAUCAAGGAAGUGCCUACAACCCAAUUUUUAAAUGGGCAAGGGAAUUAAAAAGACUUUUCUCCAAACCGGAUAUAAAUGGCCAAUAAGUAGGUGAAAAGAUGUCAGUGUCAUUAGCCAUCAGGAAAAUGCACAUCCAAACUACACCGAGAUGCCACUCCACCUCCACUAGGGCAUCUGCAGUCAAACACAGACAAUACGUUUGACUUAUUGGACCGGGAGAAGUCAGAGCCCUUGUGCACUGCUGGUGGGAAUGAAAGAGGGUGCAUUCAGCCACUUUAGGAAAAAGAAUGUCUCUUCCUCCAAUGGUGAACGUAGAAAUCUCAGACAACCAGCAGUUCCACUCCUGGGUAUGCACGCCAGAGAACUGAAAUCAAGUGAUCACACAAAAGCUUGCACACAGAUGUUCACAGAAGCAUUCAUGCACAAUAGCCCGAAUGGAGAAGCAGCCCAAUUGUCCAUCAACAGGAAAUGGAUUUUAAAACGUGGUCUGUCCAUAUGAUGGAAUAUUAUUCAGCCAGAAAGAGAGAUGAGGUAUUGAUGGAUGCUACAACAUGGAUGAACCUCAAAAUCAUUAUACCCCAUGAAAGUCAGUCAGAAAAGGCCACGUAUGAUUCCUUUAUAUGAAAUGUCCAGAAUAGGUGAAUCCAUAGAGACAGAGAGUGGAUUAGUGGUUGC